UCUGCUUCAACUAUCUUUAAUGCAAGAUACAUAGUUAAAUUAGAGUGUUUCCUUUUCCUGAAGGAGGCACAUCUUUGGUAACCAAAACAAUGCCUCUGGGAUCUCCUCCAAAAUGGCAGCCAUUAUGUAACAAAUUCCAAAAGAGACAAAAAGCAGCUGGUAUCUUCUGAAGAGGUUACCUUAGAGAUUUCAUCGAAAUCCAGGGAUGCCUAGAAGCAGUUAGUUGCGAACGAGGACAAUUUAUUGUUCCAUGUAAAGCAAGAGAUUUUUUUUUCCCGGAGAACAUUUUUGUUAAUAAUUUUAUACACUUUGGGUUUCUGAGGGAUCUUCAGAGUGAAUAUUGCAGCAAAUCAAGUAGAGAUUUUCUUUUUAAUUGUGGCAAGAACACUUUACGAGUGAUGAAGCCACUUUGCUGAAUAAGGUGAUGGGCGACUUGUAAGGAGAUUUUAAUGUGUACAUUGGCUCUAGUUCAUAAAAAUGGUCUGCUGAAAAUAUGGACUAUGUGUACAGCUGAUUUUCAUCUUAGGUCUGUAUUUUUUGGAGAAAUGAAGCACAACUAACACAAUAAGUGUACUUAAGACAUCUAUUCCAGUGAAUGUGAGAUGAAGCAUCUAUGCAUUUCAUCAGAUUGCCUGACCCAGUGUGGCUCCCCAAGCACUGCAAGGACUUGGUGAAAAUCUGAAGCUGACAAGGAAACGUCAAAUAAGGGAAUGAAACUGGUGAGCUGAGGCCCUGUGGUGGAACACAGACACUACACUCUGAACCCCGGAAGCAGGAUUCUUUCUUUUGAGAACUGUUAUUCAAAGCUACUUGAAAGUUAAUCUCUAAAACCAAAAACCACAAAACUACUCUUUCCAUGGAGCAACUCAGGGUUAUUAAAGUUUAUAGGAGGCCAUUGUUUUGGACCAGCCUCCUGCACUGGGCUCCAGCAGACCAGACCCAACCAGAAUGAAGUCGUUUGUGCUAAUGCCAUGUAAUCAAACUUAACUUUGAAAUGAGCCAGUUUUCAAAAAACCAGGAGAUUCCAGUCAACCCUGGUCAGCAUAAUAAGGACGUUUCCUCUGUUUUAAUCCUACAAGGAAAGUAACUUUGAAACCAACAAUCUGCUUUUUGUUCUGUUUCUACUUGCUUCAGCCCUUUUUUCUCUAUAAGGUCAACCUUCUCUGCUGAGCUCAUUGGAACACCCGUUCUAUUUUAUAGAAUGUGAUAUUGACAAAUUCUAGAAUUUCAAAUAAAGGCCA
rnacentral:lncRNA from 1 species